ACGGGAGGCAGCAGUAGGGAAUCUUCCACAAUGGACGAAAGUCUGAUGGAGCAACGCCGCGUGAGUGAUGAAGGUUUUCGGAUCGUAAAACUCUGUUGUAAGGGAAGAACAAGUACGUUAGGAAAUGAACGUACCUUGGCGGUACCUUAUUAGAAAGCCACGGCUAACUACGUGCCAGCAGCCGCGGUAAUACGUAGGUGGCAAGCGUUGUCCGGAUUUAUUGGGCGUAAAGCGCGCGCAGGCGGUUUCUUAAGUCUGAUGUGAAAGCCCACGGCUUAACCGUGGAGGGUCAUUGGAAACUGGGGGACUUGAGUGCAGAAGAGGAAAGUGGAAUUCCAAGUGUAGCGGUGAAAUGCGUAGAGAUUUGGAGGAACACCAGUGGCGAAGGCGACUGUCUGGUCUGCAACUGACGCUGAGGCGCGAAAGCAUGGGGAGCAAACAGGAUUAGAUACCCUGGUA
rnacentral:rRNA from 1 species